CCAUGGUACUGACAAUGCUAUCAUUUGUGAUUAAGUCCUUUGAUUAUUUCCUUUCUAUGCCAUGCAUUUUCAAAGACGAUUUAUGAUAGGUGGAGAGCAAAUUAAUAAUCUUCUUAGAGAUCAUAUGUUUCAUAAGAUACUGUACCCUGAUAACUCGAGACAUGCUAGGUUGACGGUAAUCUUUAACGCUCAAAAAGAAAAACAGAAUUGAAAGAAGACCGACCAUUUUGCAUUCAAAGUUUUUUGUCAUGAAAAUAUUGCCAAAACUUGGCCUUUUCCUUGGUGGGGUUUAAAUUUUAUGCUCAGCGCACUGAGAGCCAUCAGAGAGUUUUUCUUUUCUUUUCUUUUCUUUUUUUUUUUUUGAGACAGUAGUUCCUUUACAAAAUAAAAGUUCACUCUUUAAUGUCAUAGAAUCCUGGUUAUUGGAUCUUGUAAAUCCUUGGGAAAAAAUCU
rnacentral:lncRNA from 1 species